UGGGGAAUAUUGCACAAUGGGCGAAAGCCUGAUGCAGCAACGCCGCGUGAGUGAUGAAGGCCUUCGGGUUGUAAAGCUCUGUCUUUUGGGACGAUAAUGACGGUACCAAAGGAGGAAGCCACGGCUAACUACGUGCCAGCAGCCGCGGUAAUACGGUAGGUGGCAAGCGUUGUCCGGAUUUACUGGGCGUAAAGGAUGCGUAGGCGGAUUUUUAAGUGAGAUGUGAAAACCCUAAGCUUAACUUUGGGGGACUGCAUUUCAUACUGGAAAUCUAGAGUGCGGGAGAGGAGAAUGGAAUUCCUAGUGUAGCGGUGAAAUGCGUAGAGAUUAGGAAGAACACCAGUGGCGAAGGCGAUUCUCUGGACCGUAACUGACGCUGAGGCAUGAAAGCGUGGGUAGCAAACAGGAUUAGAUACCCUGGUAGUCCCACGCCGUAAACGAUGAGUACUAGGUGUAGGAGG
rnacentral:rRNA from 1 species